rnacentral:lncRNA from 1 species
UUUACAAGAGUUUAUUCAACUGGUUUCUGACUUUAGUUCUACCAAGUGGGUGCUGAAGAGUUACAAGCUCCUUCGGGUUCAAUUACAGCCAAUCUAAUAAAACAAACAACCAAAAAGGGAAACAAACAUAAAAGGGAAAAAAAGAAAAAAAAGAAACAACUUGGAAAAACAAUAAGAAAAUCCACAACUUUUUCACGUGUCAUUAAAUAUAUUCAUAUAUAAUAACCAUAAUAUAUUAGUAUGCAUUGUAAAGAAACAUCGCCCAAAGCAGUGUGCAAUGGUCAGAACUAAACAACAUUUACAGUUCAAGAUAUUAACAGAAAUAAUAAAAAAACAAACCAAAACAACAAACCAGGAACAGGGGCUUUGAGAGGGGAGAGGAGGCGGUGGCAGGGAGAGGGCACGGACACGGAACGAACAGAAACGAGACGAAACCACGUCUGUCGGGUGCUACCGGCGAGUGAUGAUUGUUUUGGCAUUUCAGCUGCUCUCCAAAGCCACGCUGAGGCACCACAGCCCCUCCCCGGCCACCCCCUCCACCUCCCGAGGACUUCGGUCCUGUCCCAGGGCAAUGGCUGGGCGCUGAGCGGUUGGUUGUGGUGCGGUUGGUACCCAACAGAGCUGCACCCCCGGGCGCGGGGGUUGAUGUUCAGGGAUUGACAUCUGGUCCCUCUUUGGGAGACUGGACAGAGGUGUCUCCGCGGGAGCAGGGGUGGCUGCAGGGAAGAAUUGUAUCCCCAGACACCCCAAAACAGGGGCUGCUGUGCCUCCCCCAGAGGGGAUGGGCUAUGCACCAGUUACACCAGCAGCUCUGCAGGUCGAGGUUACUAGGAGCAUGUGAGGGGCACUGGGGGACCGUGGGCAGAGUGAAGGAGCUUCUCUAUUCUGGUUGAAAAGCACAGAACUCCAGCAGGGAUCAAGGGAUGGAGUCCUGGUGGGACAGCGAUGGGGACCUCGCUUCUGUGGGUGACUCUGGCCGUGGUGGGCUCUGAGUUGUUUUGUGUCUUGUGCAAAUUCCAUUUCCUUCUGAUUUCCCAGGUUGUGUCGGUGCUUGGAGGGGUCCGGCCAUGGCGGGGGCGAUGUUUCUUCUGCAGCCUCCCAAACUAGUGGGACUGGGGAAGGGACAGAGGCUUGUCCCUGGGUGGAUUUGGGUGGUGUCAAGGCUGAGCUGGGGAGGAUGGCUGUGCUUGCCAAGGUUGGAAAAUGGGAGUAAGCAUUGGAUGUCCAGGCAUGCUCAAAGGGCAUUUCUCAAGUUCCUCUGUCCCUUGGCUUUGCCUUCCUUCUCUCCCAAUGGGUUGGAUCUGGUUGCUUUUAGGCCAUUUGAAGAUCUCCCAUGGUUCAAAGGCAUCCCGGCUGACCAAGGACAAGCUGUCUCCAGCUGGCGCGAGGUGUCCAUGGCAUCAGUUGAUGCUCGCCACGGCAGAGCACCCAAACCCCCUUUGGGGCUUAAAGCCUCCAUUUAGACAUUUUGGGUCAGAUUUCAUCUUUCAAAACUCAGUGGCUUGGGUUCCCUUGACAGCAAAACUGUUGGUUCUCCUUGAGCUCUGAAGGAAGGAAAACUGAGCCUGCUCUGGAUAAGGGGAGAGAAUAUGGACCUGUAGGGGGGUUGCUUGAUGGCCAGGGUGGGAUUUCUCUGCUAAUAUCCAAACCGAUUUCGGAGGGGGCUUGUGGCUGCAGCAGAGCUUGCUGCCUCCGGGUGGUGUCUCCAGCAGCCUGGCAUUGGCUGGUGCUUCCCCAGGAGCCCUCCACUUUACACCUAUUUACAUGGCUGCCUCACUUUAUGGUGGUUUAUGUCAUUAUAUAAAUAUUGUCAAUUGCUAUAAAACAAGGCAAAACCACUGGAAAAUGUCAUAAAAUAGAUGUUUCCAAGUUUCCUAAAAGGAGAAAUAUCAGGGAGGUUUUGCCUUUCGUAGCAACUAGUGUUCGCUUCUCCUCCAGGUACCCGCCUUGCCCUCCCUGCCUUUCUGCCC